AUUGAACGCUGGCGGCAGGUCUAACACAUGCAAGUCGAGCGGAUGAAGGGAGCUUGCUCCUGGAUUCAGCGGCGGACGGGUGAGUAAUGCCUAGGAAUCUGCCUGGUAGUGGGGGAUAACGUCCGGAAACGGGCGCUAAUACCGCAUACGUCCUGAGGGAGAAAGUGGGGGAUCUUCGGACCUCACGCUAUCAGAUGAGCCUAGGUCGGGUUAGCUAGUUGGUGGGGUAAAGGCCUACCAAGGCGACGAUCCGUAACUGGUCUGAGAGGAUGAUCAGUCACACUGGAACUGAGACACGGUCCAGACUCCUACGGGAGGCAGCAGUGGGGAAUAUUGGACAAUGGGCGAAAGCCUGAUCCAGCCAUGCCGCGUGUGUGAAGAAGGUCUUCGGAUUGUAAAGCACUUUAAGUUGGGAGGAAGGGCAGUAAGUUAAUACCUUGCUGUUUUGACGUUACCAACAGAAUAAGCACCGGCUAACUUCGUG
rnacentral:rRNA from 1 species